GUCAGUUGUUACACACUCCCCCGCAGCUCCGCACCGCCGGCGACUGCCGGGUAUGAGCCCGACGCUCCAGCGCCAUCCAUUUUCAGGGCUAGUUGAUUCGGCAGGUGAGUUGUUACACACUCCUUAGCGGCUUCCGACUUCCAUGGCCACCGUCCUGCUGUCUGGAUCAAC